GUGGGGAAUAUUGGACAAUGGGCGCAAGCCUGAUCCAGCAAUGCCGCGUGGGUGAAGAAGGCCUUCGGGUUGUAAAGCCCUUUUGUACGGAAAGAAAUCCUGGUGGUUAAUACCCGCCGGGGAUGACGGUACCGUAAGAAUAAGCACCGGCUAACUUCGUGCCAGCAGCCGCGGUAAUACGAAGGGUGCAAGCGUUAAUCGGAAUUACUGGGCGUAAAGCGUGCGUAGGUGGUUUCUUAAGUCUGUCGUGAAAGCCCUGGGCUCAACCUGGGAAUGGCGAUGGAUACUGGGAGGCUAGAGUGCGGUAGAGGAUGGCGGAAUUCCCGGUGUAGCGGUGAAAUGCGUAGAGAUCGGGAGGAACACCGAUGGCGAAGGCAGCCUCCUGGGAUGACACUGACGCUCAUGCACGAAAGCGUGGGGAGCAAACAGGAUUAGAAACCCCAGUAGUCC
rnacentral:rRNA from 1 species